ensembl:lncRNA
ACAAUAUUCUCUUCAUAACUCGGCAGUAUGAAAUGUCAUGAAACAGCGUAACUCACAGUGAAUCAGCAGUAAAUCAGCAGUAUAGGAUAAUACAAACCUAUCUAAUAAAUCUAAUGAUUUUCACAUUCUUUUAACUAAGAAGUGUGAUGCAAACUAAAACUACAUACUGAUUACACAAGAAGUAUGAUGUGGCCUCCAGCAGUAUUAUGAUUCACUCAUUUUGAUUACAGGUAUAAUGUAAUAUAUGACAGCAUAAUAAUCUCACAACUGCUACAAGCACAUUUGCCUUUCUUAACACACGCGAGUGAAAGGCAACUGUUAAGAAAAUGCCCUUCUGGGUGAGACAGGCCCAGAGGCCCUGCAUGCAAGCGUACUAACACACAUACAUGCAAUGAAGAGCAGCUUACACUAGAGCACACACUAUAUGUGCGCCUCUAUAUCUCACAUUGGUGUUAAAACAGGAAAAACUUAAUAGUUUUGUUAUCAACUGCUGAAUUUACCCACUACUGACAUUUAACUCUCCAGCUUGCAGGACAAUAGUGUUAAAACAGGGAAAACUUAAUAGUUUUGUUAUCAAAUGCUGAAGUUUAUCCACUACUAACAAAUAAACUCUCUGGGUUGCAGGACAACAACUUCAAAAAGAACGACACUGGUAUGACCAACCAGUGAUGAAACAACAAAUUUAGUGGUUAAGAGUCAAAUUGUGAGAUGUUUUCUGCUGAUUGAAUCAUAUAAGUGAUUACUGAAGGAAGGAAAAUUCCUUUUUUGUGCUUUUAAACAUGAUCUUACAAAUUUUACCAUGUACCUGUGUUGUCCUGUCAACUUGGUGGGUUAUGAGUUGAUUAUAUGGUGAGAAAAAACACAAAAAAAGGGGGGAGAGAAGGCUGACACAGGGCCUGGCCCGGUGUUUCUCCCCUCUCUGAAUAACACAGCCAAUACAACAUCAUUUUCCUGUUCGUCUGUUUUUGUUUUGUUUUUGUUUUUUCUCUUUAUGUUUAAUCACAGGCUGCUUUGCCAGUCCUGAAAGCCGAAGCUGACCUGGACUCCUGCUCUCCCCUCUACCAUCUCUGACCUUGACCCUGACCAAAUGCUGCAGCAGCUGGACCCAUAACAACAAUCUAAAAAUGUCAACAGUGCUACAGGAAAGCGAUCUCAUGCAGCAGAGACGGGGAGCGUUAAAUCCAAGGCUCGUUUCACUACACGGAGGAGAUUUCCAGACAGCUUCAGCUGACAGAGCUGUGACGAGACGCCCAUUAAGCCCGAAUGAAAAGUAAGGCCGAGCAAAAGAAUGCUGACCUUGAUAACUCUGCAUUAACACUGUGCAGGACAGUGAUGGACCAACACGGAUGAUCGGGCAGCAGAAGAAAGGGUGUGCCAGAGACAGGAGGAGCAACUGAGGUCAAAAGGCACCUCAGAAUGGACAAAACACAGAAGAAGAUGCAGGUUUCACCUGCGGUGAGCAUGGACACUGGAGAAAGGACUGCCCCAAUUGGGGCCAGGACCAGGACACACUGAACUGUGAGCAGCAGCAGCAAUGGUCGCAAACGGACUGAAAAGGAGGAGGGCAGGACCCCAGGGCAUGCUUCAGGCCGUGGUUUACCCAAAACACCAGAACAGGAAAGUGAUAAACACGCCAACAUACACACACAUACACACACUGA